AGACUCUUCAGGAUUGAGGCUUUCCCACAGUGCAGGGCAACCAAUGUGUCUCAACCCUGACCUGGAGGGGACUGCCUGUAGGGAUGAGAAAUGAAUUCAGUCUUCACGCCAACAUCAUUGGCCUAU
rnacentral:sRNA from 1 species